rnacentral:rRNA from 1 species
AACGGACGAGAAGCUUGCUUCUCUGAUGUUAGCGGCGGACGGGUGAGUAACACGUGGAUAACCUACCUAUAAGACUGGGAUAACUUCGGGAAACCGGAGCUAAUACCGGAUAAUAUUUUGAACCGCAUGGUUCAAAAGUGAAAGACGGUCUUGCUGUCACUUAUAGAUGGAUCCGCGCUGCAUUAGCUAGUUGGUAAGGUAACGGCUUACCAAGGCAACGAUGCAUAGCCGACCUGAGAGGGUGAUCGGCCACACUGGAACUGAGACACGGUCCAGACUCCUACGGGAGGCAGCAGUAGGGAAUCUUCCGCAAUGGGCGAAAGCCUGACGGAGCAACGCCGCGUGAGUGAUGAAGGUCUUCGGAUCGUAAAACUCUGUUAUUAGGGAAGAACAUAUGUGUAAGUAACUGUGCACAUCUUGACGGUACCUAAUCAGAAAGCCACGGCUAACUACGUGCCAGCAGCCGCGGUAAUACGUAGGUGGCAAGCGUUAUCCGGAAUUAUUGGGCGUAAAGCGCGCGUAGGCGGUUUUUUAAGUCUGAUGUGAAAGCCCACGGCUCAACCGUGGAGGGUCAUUGGAAACUGGAAAACUUGAGUGCAGAAGAGGAAAGUGGAAUUCCAUGUGUAGCGGUGAAAUGCGCAGAGAUAUGGAGGAACACCAGUGGCGAAGGCGACUUUCUGGUCUGUAACUGACGCUGAUGUGCGAAAGCGUGGGGAUCAAACAGGAUUAGAUACCCUGGUAGUCCACGCGUAACGAUGAGUGCUAAGUGUUAGGGGUUUCCGCCCCUUAGUGCUGCAGCUAACGCAUUAAGCACUCCGCCUGGGGAGUACGACCGCAAGGUUGAAACUCAAAGGAAUUGACGGGGACCCGCACAAGCGGUGGAGCAUGUGGUUUAAUUCGAAGCAACGCGAAGAACCUUACCAAAUCUUGACAUCCUUUGACAACUCUAGAGAUAGAGCUUUCCCCUUCGGGGGACAAAGUGACAGGUGGUGCAUGGUUGUCGUCAGCUCGUGUCGUGAGAUGUUGGGUUAAGUCCCGCAACGAGCGCAACCCUUAAGCUUAGUUGCCAUCAUUAAGUUGGGCACUCUAAGUUGACUGCCGGUGACAAACCGGAGGAAGGUGGGGAUGACGUCAAAUCAUCAUGCCCCUUAUGAUUUGGGCUACACACGUGCUACAAUGGACAAUACAAAGGGCAGCGAAACCGCGAGGUCAAGCAAAUCCCAUAAAGUUGUUCUCAGUUCGGAUUGUAGUCUGCAACUCGACUACAUGAAGCUGGAAUCGCUAGUAAUCGUAGAUCAGCAUGCUACGGUGAAUACGUUCCCGGGUCUUGUACACACCGCCCGUCACACCACGAGAGUUUGUAACACCCGAAGCCGGUGGAGUAA